ensembl:lncRNA
GGAAGGUUGGGGCCUCCUCCUGACCCAAUCACACGGAGGUGGUGCGGGGAGGUGGGUGUGGAGCAGGAAGUGCUCCGCUGAACAGUUCCCUGGACGAGAGGGGCCGGCCUGUGGUAGCUGGGGUCAGGCGGAGAGGUCAGCCCAGCGCGGUUUUCCUGACCCCCCACAGAGCCACUCUAGUCUAUGCGGGACAAUCCUCUGAAGAAGACGGUGGGUGUGGGCCCUCAGAAGCCAAUACUGACAGCUGCAGGAGAUGACACGUCCUGGGGACAGGGGCUCACCAGGGCUUCGACAUCUGGCCGAAGAAUCAAAGAACAUGAAAAUCCAAAUCCAAGGAGGCUGAAGGGGAAACGUGUGCCGCGACCUCCCAAAUCUGCGUGUCCACCCCCUGUCUCCUGGGCCCUAGACCCGGGCAUCCUCCUGGAUGGCUCCAGCUGGACCCCCAAGCUCAAAAUGUAACUUGUCAGUCUUCCCCACCCCUCAUACCCAGCAUGCCUCCUGUCCUGUCGUCCCUCACUGCGGUCUUGCCUCCCUAUAGCCCCUCCUUCUGAAACAACUCGCCAGGUUUUUCCCUUCUGUGAAGCCCAUUGCCAUAAAGAGGAAAUCCACACUCCUGGCCAUGACCUUACAGGGCCCCGCAGGAGCCACUCCCCACCUGGUCUGUGGUCUCCACGCUCUGCCCUUGGAGCAGAGCUGCCUUCAGGUCCCGGCAGGCACGUGCUCUUACCUGCAGGCCUUCGUGCAAGCUGUUCUCCCUGUCGCAACCGUCUUCCUCCCUCUUCCCCUGGCCAGCUCCGGCUCAAUCCUCUAGGUGUAGCCUAAAUGCCACUUCGGUGGAUUAGAAGCCUUGGAAUUCCGGGCCUGCUGAUGAGAGCCCGUCUUCUCAUGAACCCCGGUGGUUACAUGGGUCCCCUGAAUUAUGCUCGGUUACUUAAUCACCCCUGUCUUGGGAAAGGCAGACUCUCCCCAAGCAGGCCCCAUCUGAUUUGUUCCUGGGCGCGUAUCCCCGGCAUCUAGGGCUGAAGCCUCUCUGUGAAUGCCUGGCGGGUUUAAGCAGGGCGUGAAAGGGUGACUUUUCUCCAGCCUGGCCCGGAAGCCUGCAGUCGGAGACCUUGGCCUCGAGCUCUCCAGGAGGAGACAGAACUUUUACUUGGUGGCCUCUGUGUUCCCCACGACGUCUUCUUCAGGUCCUUAAUGGGAAGAGAGGGGAGAGAGGGGUGGAGAGGAGGAGGCAGGGCAGGGAAGAAAGCAAGCCCUAAUCCGUGGCCCAGAAGGAAUGAACAUUUCCAACCUUGCCUCAUCUAAGUAGGUCACACGGAAGAACUCAGAGUCCCUGUCAAAGUUUCAGGCAAAAACAAUAACUUGGUUUUGACCUUGCACUCUUCAAAAAGCAAGUUGCUGCUGAGCUCCAACAUCAAACAGAAUAAAUAAUUGUUUUUCUUUUUUGUUGUUAUGAUA